rnacentral:rRNA from 1 species
GUAAACGGUGGGCGCUAGGUGUGGGUUCCUUCCCACGGGAUCUGUGCCCGUUACUAACGCAUUAAAGCGCCCCGCCUGGGGAGUACGGCCGCAAGGCUAAAACUCAAAGGAAUUGACGGGGGCCGCACAAGCGGCGGAGCAUGUGGAUUAAUUCGAUGCAACGCGAAGAACCUUACCUGGGUUUGACAUAUACCGGAAAGCCGUAGAGAUACGGCCCCCCUUGUGGUCGGUAUACAGGUGGUGCAUGGCUGUCGUCAGCUCGUGUCGUGAGAUGUUGGGUUAAGUCCCGCAACGAGCGCAACCCUUGUCUUAUGUUGCCAGCACGUAAUGGUGGGGACUCGUAAGAGACUGCCGGGGUCAACUCGGAGGAAGGUGGGGACGACGUCAAGUCAUCAUGCCCCUUAUGUCCAGGGCUUCACACAUGCUACAAUGGCCAGUACAGAGGGCUGCGAGACCGUGAGGUGGAGCGAAUCCCUUAAAGCUGGUCUCAGUUCGGAUCGGGGUCUGCAACUCGACCCCGUGAAGUCGGAGUCGCUAGUAAUCGCAGAUCAGCAACGCUGCGGUGAAUUCGUUCCCGGGCCU